rnacentral:lncRNA from 1 species
CUUUCCGUUCCAGUUCAGUCUUCCGCGUGUGCUGUGUUCGAUCGAUCGGCAAGGAUCGUAUCAUUUGGCACCAGAGCCGCGUUUCGUAUCCAGGUUUCGUUUGUUUGUUUUCGUUUCUGUGUCAAGGGUAGAAUUUUAGGGUUUCCGUUUUCUGUCCGAGUUUUCUGUUCCGCUAUUGAUUAUAAUUCCUAGGGUUUCGAUUUCUUCCUUCUGCUGUGAUUCAAUACCAUAUAUCUUGGGUGGUCUGAUUUACUCAUAAACAUUCACUCUUAUACACAUCUAUCAUCAUACGACUUACACACAUCCAUACAAUUCCAUACAUCAUAAAUUCGUUUGUUUCUUGAAUUUUUACAGAACCUAUACUUCGUUAGGGUCAAAAAAAAAAAAAAAAAAAAAAAAAAAAAAAUAAAAAAAGAACCUAUUCUGCGUACAUUUUUUCCGAUUUUUUGCUUAUUUCUCGUUGUGUUUUCUGGAGUCCUUGGGUAGUAUAGAGCCUUUUGGGACAGUUUCGGCGUACACUUUUUCCGGUUUUCAAUUAUUUCUCUUUGUGUUUUCUGGAAUCCUUGGGUAGUAUAGAGCGUUUUGAGCCUAUUUCUGCGCAGUUACUUUUGGGUUGUUCAGUCUGCGUUUCUGGUUGUUUUCGUCUUCGUUUGGGUGUUUCCCACCUUUUUGUGUCCGUUUAGUGUUGUUGGUGUGGUC